AGGUCCAGCACAGGUUCAGCGCGGGGUCCGCCCGCCUGUCUCACUCUAGCGCCAAUACUAACACCACUACCGCCUGGGACGCUACACACUGCUCCUGCCCUCUCGUCUGGGUAUUCCGGUGUGGAACGUGUGUUCUUCAGGUAACUGUGUUCACCUGAGCACUGUGCAGGUGGCCCCUCAUCGACUGCACCUCUUAACACAUCCCAGUUACUAGGCAAAGGUAAAGGAGGUUCCUGCCAUCGUGUGAGAAUGGUGGCACCGUUCCUGGUGGGAGCGCCCUUGCGUUCCUUCGUACGAGUGCCAGGCAGCGGCACAGACAAGAGUGCCAGGCUAGUGGCGUGUGACCUCUGCCGCAUGUCGACCAUCACCCCGGGUAGCCACCAGAGGCAAGUGACCACCAUGCCCCACGCCCCCAUAGAUGACCUCAGCCACCACCCACCACCACCACCACACAAGCUUGCCGACCACCACGCCCUGCAGCUGGUAGACACCACAAUGAAACUCCUUCCUCUUUAAGACCACCACCAUAACAAUGUUACCAUGGACAAAAUUCCUUCAGAUGUGUAAGCACAAUGUAGAAGCAAAGAUCACUUGAUUUGAGACUUGAGAAUGGUCCAGGACGGACCGAAACGUCGUCGUCCCUUCAAUUUCUAGUGUGUGGUCUGGUCAACAUACUUCAGCCACGUUAUUGGGACUCCUCGCCUGCAAAAAGACCACAUGAGGUACUUACUGAGAGAAACUCAUCUUGGCUAAAAGUCCUUCCAGAGUUCAUGAACUAUGUGUCCCCUUCAUUAAGGUCAGUUGUCCACUAGUGAAUUUAGAAAGGGGCGCCAGUGAAGGGAAAGCCAUCAUUUGCCCACCGGCAAUGUUCCAAAAUGCAAAACAUUGCCUAUAAUGUAACAACGCUUGCAGGGUGCCUUUGAGAACACCAGGGGGUUCAGGAAGAGUGCUCAACGGUUCUGAGUGGUGCAGGACGACCUAUGGCUGAGCCGCAGUUGAAUAUCCAUUAACUUUUGCCCUGUAUCAAUGGAACUACAUAGAGAGAGGAAGUCCUGAUGGCUUUGACAGGCAUGAGAAGAAGGGACAAUAAUGUAGCCAAGGGCACAGAGGAACCCGACAGGCCGGGUCCUAUAGGUGAGGUCACUGAACCAGCCAGAACUUUGGGGAGGAGUUUGAGAGGUCAAUAGGAAAGCCAAAUAAAGUCCCCCCAUCUCUGUGGGGUGCUUGAAGCCAUGUUCUGUAACUUAGGGCCUAGGAGACAGCUCCAGGAAAUUGGGCAUGAGGGCCAUGGCUGAGUCUGGCCUUGGGGGGGCACGUCUGAGAUCAUAGAAGGGAAAGGGUCAGUUAUGCUGGGUAAAGGGCAAAGAAAGUAGAGAACAUUCCUGUAAUUACUGGUUCAUGCACUUUACCUGCUGUAAUCAAUAAGCACUUAAUCCGUGUUAAGAUACCAUGAACAUUUAUACUCAAGUGCCUUCUUUGGAUUUACUAACACACCCUAACAAAUUCAAAGAAUGCAUUUGCCUGGUUUAAUAAAUUCAUGUUACUGAACUAUAAAGAUA